GAUGAACGCUAGCUACAGGCUUAACACAUGCAAGUCGAGGGCAGCACAGUGUAGCAAUACAUGGGUGGCGACCGGCGCACGGGUGCGUAACGCGUAUCCAACCUUCCCGUUACUCUUGGAUAGCCUUCCGAAAGGGAGAUUAAUACAAGAUGGUAUUCAAAUUCGCAUGUUAUUUGAAUUAAAGAUUUAUCGGUAACGGAUGGGGAUGCGUGACAUUAGGUAGAUGGCGGGGUAACGGCCCACCAUGCCUACGAUGUCUAGGGGUUCUGAGAGGAAGGUCCCCCACACUGGAACUGAGACACGGUCCAGACUCCUACGGGAGGCAGCAGUGAGGAAUAUUGGUCAAUGGGCGAGAGCCUGAACCAGCCAAGUCGCGUGAGGGAAGACGGUACUAAGUAUUGUAAACCUCUUUUGUCAGGGAACAAAGAGACCACGUGUGGUAAGAUGAGUGUACCUGAAGAAAAGCAUCGGCUAACUCCGUG
rnacentral:rRNA from 1 species